rnacentral:rRNA from 1 species
AGCUUGCUGGGGUGGAUGAGUGGCGAACGGGUGAGUAACACGUGAGUAACCUUCCCUUGACUCUGGGAUAAGCCCGGGAAACUGGGUCUAAUACCGGAUAUGACCUCCUGUCGCAUGGUGGGGGGUGGAAAGAUUUAUCGGUCUUGGAUGGACUCGCGGCCUAUCAGCUUGUUGGUGAGGUAAUGGCUCACCAAGGCGACGACGGGUAGCCGGCCUGAGAGGGUGACCGGCCACACUGGGACUGAGACACGGCCCAGACUCCUACGGGAGGCAGCAGUGGGGAAUAUUGCACAAUGGGCGCAAGCCUGAUGCAGCGACGCCGCGUGAGGGAUGACGGCCUUCGGGUUGUAAACCUCUUUCAGUAGGGAAGAAGCCUUCGGGUGACGGUACCUGCAGAAGAAGCGCCGGCUAACUACGUGCCAGCAGCCGCGGUAAUACGUAGGGCGCGAGCGUUAUCCGGAAUUAUUGGGCGUAAAGAGCUCGUAGGCGGUUUGUCGCGUCUGCCGUGAAAGUCCGGGGCUUAACCCCGGAUCUGCGGUGGGUACGGGCAGACUAGAGUGCAGUAGGGGAGACCGGAAUUCCUGGUGUAGCGGUGAAAUGCGCAGAUAUCAGGAGGAACACCGAUGGCGAAGGCAGGUCUCUGGGCUGUUACUGACGCUGAGGAGCGAAAGCAUGGGGAGCGAACAGGAUUAGAUACCCUGGUAGUCCAUGCCGUAAACGUUGGGCACUAGGUGUGGGGGACAUUCCACGUUUUCCGCGCCGCAGCUAACGCAUUAAGUGCCCCGCCUGGGGAGUACGGCCGCAAGGCUAAAACUCAAAGGAAUUGACGGGGGCCCGCACAAGCGGCGGAGCAUGCGGAUUAAUUCGAUGCAACGCGAAGAACCUUACCAAGGCUUGACAUGUUCUCGAUCGCCACAGAGAUGUGGUUUCCCCUUUGGGGCGGGUUCACAGGUGGUGCAUGGUUGUCGUCAGCUCGUGUCGUGAGAUGUUGGGUUAAGUCCCGCAACGAGCGCAACCCUCGUUCCAUGUUGCCAGCGGGUUAUGCCGGGGACUCAUGGGAGACUGCCGGGGUCAACUCGGAGGAAGGUGGGGACGACGUCAAAUCAUCAUGCCCCUUAUGUCUUGGGCUUCACGCAUGCUACAAUGGCCGGUACAAUGGGUUGCGAUACUGUGAGGUGGAGCUAAUCCCAAAAAGCCGGUCUCAGUUCGGAUUGGGGUCUGCAACUCGACCCCAUGAAGUCGGAGUCGCUAGUAAUCGCAGAUCAGCAACGCUGCGGUGAAUACGUUCCCGGGCCUUGUACACACCGCCCGUCAAGUCACGAAAGUCGGUAACACCCGAAGCUCGGUGGCCCAACC